UACCCGAGUGGCGAACGGGUGAGUAACACGUGGGUGAUCUGCCCUGCACUCUGGGAUAAGCCUGGGAAACUGGGUCUAAUACCGGAUAGGACCAUGCUUUAGUGUGUGUGGUGGAAAGUUUUUUCGGUGUAGGAUGAGCCCGCGGCCUAUCAGCUUGUUGGUGGGGUAAUGGCCUACCAAGGCGGCGACGGGUAGCCGGACUGAGAGGUUGGUCGGCCACAUUGGGACUGAGAUACGGCCCAG
rnacentral:rRNA from 1 species